rnacentral:misc_RNA from 1 species
UGACGCGCGCGCACACACACACACUUAGCGAAAACUGAGCGGAACGUGAAGCCCUCGUCGCCUGCCCACACCCCACAGCCCGCCAGCCACGCAAACAAACACGCUGCGAACGCGCACGUGGGUUUUCGUUGCCGGUUUGGUCACAUUGGCUUCGAGGCGCGCAUUACGGUUGUUACGCGCGUGCAUCGAAUUUCCCCACUUUCUCCCACGCGCCCCUUGUGUUGGCUUUAGGCUUGCUCUCUGCCUUGUCACACGCCCGCGGCGUUAUCGGUCAACCAUUACCCCCUCUCCCUCCCCCGCCGCCGCCGCCGCCGCCCCUCCUCAACGAUAGACUCGCCCGCUGGUCACAUACACGCAGGCAGGAACCAGCGCUUCUGUUAUUUGGUGCUUUCAGGGAGACGCGCACGUGCUCCUCUCUGUACUAGAGUCUAGGCGAACAGGUCACCUGAGUGUCUGUGCGGUGCUGCCGAAAUGGCCCCCAAGAGGAAGGCAGCGUCGAAGACGUCGCCCGCUGCGGAGGAAGCGGUGCAUGAAGGCUGCGAGGAGAACUCGACGGCGCCGGUCGUGGAGGCAUCGUUAGCGGCAGCAGACGAGACUGCCACGGCACGUGCCGCGGAGCCAGCCGCUCCUGUGCCAGUGGUGGGGUCUACAACGGAGGUUUACAGCCAACUGCAGUCGAUUCUCUCCGUGAAUGGCGCCCUGGUGAACCACUAUCUUCCACAGGUACUGGAGCUCGUGCAGGCAGCGGAGUCUGUUGAGACGCCGAUCCUGCUGAGGGUGCGCUUUCUCGAGUUUGUGGGACAGCACGUGGCCGCUGUGCGUGACAACAACGCCCUACGCAAGGUGGUGACAUCCCUCGUGAAGAUCGUUGGCGGGGCCGACAACACGCCGCAGCUGCUCACGGCUGCGGUUCAGGCGUUUGCCGGCCUGGGCCCUGUCUCGGUGGUUGACAAGAACUGGGAGUAUCUGGCUCGUGAGGGGGCGGAUGUGCUCAUGCAGGUAAUGGUUGACCGCGACGCGUUCCCGGAAAGCGUUCGGCAGGCUGCAUCAAAGUCGCUGGACUCGCUGACGAGCAGCGCCUUUCGCUCGGUGCUGGCGAAGCUGCUGCACUGGCUGAGCCUCGAUCGGGAGGAGGACGACGAGGAGCAGGUGCAGAAGGAGCGGCACAUGGCGCUGUCGCGCCUGACGCGUCUCAUCAUGGCUCCCAGCCAGCGCAAGCACUGGACAGAGGAGACUCAGCUCUAUGCCGAGCCGCUGCUGCAGCGUGUGCUAAGCACCGUCGACGUUCGCGAGUUUGCUCAGUUGGCACGCGUGACGGCGCACCUGCCCAUCAACCAAGACAAAGGCAACCUUCCCCUUCUCGAGUGGUACGUGAAGGCUCACAGGCUGAACGACGACCGCCACGUUGAGGCCGUUGCUAUCAUCGGUCGCUUCGUCAGCAACUCUGUCGAGUUCGACCUGUACCCCGCGCUGGAGGCUGCCGGCAUCACGUCUCGCGAUAUCGACGCAUCGAGUGACGGAAGUGUCAACACGGCGAAGGUGGUGCUGCUAGCCAGUCGCAUCGCCACAGCGGAGGCCGCCGAGAAGCUGUACCCCUACGUCUACCGCCAAGUGGUUUCUCUGAUGUCUGACAUGCGUGGCACCCUCACCACGGCAAACCUCAUCACGGUGGAGGCCCUCCUGUUCGCCGCGGUCGCGCUGGCGCGCAAGCGGUCUGCCGAGGCGCUGCAGCAGCUGAAUGACGCCUCCUUCAACGCGAGUGCUACCUCGGCCGCACAGGCAGCGGCAGACGUGUACAAGCAAGUCGUGUUCGCUGUGAAGAAGGCGGCGCAGAGCAAGCAGGCGGACGGGGCAAGCGCGAACGCUGUGGCCAGUCUGAACAACAUCAAAACGAUCACCGAGGCCUUCGCUGCCAAGCGCCUCCCUCUGGGGGAGAUCAAGGAAAGCUGGACGCGCGGCCCGAACACCAUCCCUGCCGCGAAGCGGGACCGCGGGGCUCCUCGCGGUGCCAUGCCUCCGCCUCCCGGUGUGCAGCCCACUGCAGAGGCAGGAAAGAAACGCAGCAGCAGCCAGAACGCGCCGGACCGCAAGCGGGCCCGCAACGACCACAAGGGCCAGUACAACGAUCGCCGAUCGCGCCGUGGUGGCCGCCGUUGAAUGACACAAGCGGUGCGCAAGCGGAACUGCGUCGUGUUUGCAUGUCCGAUGCCGCGGGCUUUGGUUGUCCUUUUUGGUAGCGGAAAAUGGCCUGUAUACACAGGUGGGUGGGUGCGUCACGCGUCCGCGACGAUGCGUCUGCGCGAGCGUCUGUAUGUCUCUCUCGGCUCGUGCGUCGGAUAGAAGAGUGUGUAUGUGUGUGCUGGCCUCGAGUUGCCAUUUCGUCAGAUGCUGAAACGGACGAGAGCGAAGGAGCAUUGAGAAAGGCUUGAGCACGCGCAGGCACAGGAGAGAGGGAGGGUGUGCAUGUUUGAUGCUCCGCGCCCCCUCCCCCACCCCUGGCUUUUCAUCUGAGGGAAGGAAGCGGGAGGGGUAGGAUUCCGUUCAUGCUGUUGCGUGGUACCCCUGAACCGCUCUCGCGAGCGGCUUUGAGUCGGCACCAAGCUUAUGGUGCUUACCGUGACGAUGUGCAUGUGUGUGGGCGUAGCGAAGCAGCAGCAGCAUGGACGUAGAAGCAACACUGCCGGACCUAGGAAUGUGCGGAAAAGAGAGGGGGGGCGAGAGCGCGCGGAGAGGAAGUGGAAGAAAUGGAACAGGUGAAACACGCACUUGACGCGCAUAAGGUAAACAAAAACGUGACAAGGAAAGAGGCUCUGCAGCCAGUCGUAGUCGUAGACACAAGCGCGUAAGCAAAGCCCAUGCUUGGACCCCAGCUGAGGUUGAGGUGUGCGGUAGGCGGUUGCACAACAUGCUCAGUCACAGUGGCUCGGUGCCCCUUGAUUUC